GACAUAAUUAAAUCAAUCCCAACACUCUCAAAUCGAAACGCCUCAUCAAUUCGGUAUUUGUAUUUCAAGCGUCUAAAAACCUGCUUGCAUUCAUCCAAAAACUUUCAGAUUUCUUGAUUCCAAUGGCCCCACGGCCGAAACAAAAUCAACGGAGAGGAAAUCAAUUGACGCUAACAGGCUUCGUGUUUGAUUGAUUUUUGCCUCUUUCUCUUUACUCACAGUCGCCGGAGCAACAGGCGGAAAGCUUCUACAUGUUUUUGAAAAGGCCUCUUCUUUAAAUCCAGAGGAUUCGACCUUGAAACUGUGAAUACAUCUUCUGAUCGUGAGAUCUCAUGAGAAGCAGGAAGAUACCGAGGAGAUUGUGAGAUUUGUUUGUUUCUCUUCUUUAGUCAAAGAUGUGGUGCAUCAACGGCAAUGCAAAGACAAUGGUGUCAAAAGAAGCCAUUAUAAACAUUAUAGAUAAGAUUGACAUUUGUUUACUGUAGAUACUUUCCGCUCUCGAGAGGAAAGAAGAUUAUGUUUAUUCUGGUAAAUUUGCAAUUCAGGAUUCUUGCAUCUUUUUAUUUGUUUAGACUUUAGAUAGCUUAUUUUGGAGACAACUUUGACAACUGAGCAAUGAUAGAAAAA